UUUUAAUGAUUUAAGAAAAAUGAAGCUUAAUCUGUUUAGAAAUUCAUUUACUAAUUCGAUGUGAUUUAAGCAAUUCAAGAUGUCAAUAAGUUUACAAAUAAUCCAAGUAUAGCAUGUUUUUGGGUCCUAGACUACCCGGACAAUAGCAUAAUAGUAUCUAUGCACGGACUCUCGUCACCUCGUGCAUACAUAGCCCCCACAAAUAGUAGCACAUAACCAAUUAACUCACCUAUGGGGACAAUUCCCUCUUACAAGGUUAGAAAGGAGACUCACCUCGCUCCGAAGAUCCAUAACCGGCAUUCCACGCUCUUCCGAAGACUCAAAUUGAUGCACGACGCUCCAAAACUAGCCAAUAAUAAUACCAAUCCAUCAAUAUAUACUCAAUUACCCCUAAUGAUCCAAUUUAUAACAACCCCUAACCCCGAUCGAAAAGUUGACAAAUACGACCUUGGGCCCACGUGCCCGGAUUCCAAAAAAUUUCGAAGAUAAACUUUAACCAUAACCUCAUGAACUCAAAUAUAUAAUUUACUCUCAAUUUAAUACCCAAAAUCAUGGUCAAAUUCCAAGAAUAUUAAUUUUCUAGGUUUUCCCUCAAACCCCAAGUUUUCUACAAAUUUCAUGCUCAAAUCCGUACAUAAUCAAUGUAUUUAACUCAAGAUAGGUGGGGAUAGCUUACCUUAUCAUUGAUGAUGAAAAUCCCCUCUUGAAGCCCUCCAAAAUCGCCCAAAGUAGAGAAAAAUGGGUGAAAUGAACUCAACCCCGCUUUUUAAAACAUUCUACCCAGCGACUUCCGCACCUGCGGACCCUUGACAGCUUCUGCGGUUCUGCAGGUGCGGCACUUCUACCGCUUCUGCAGUUCUGCAGGUGCGGCACUUCUAUCGCUUCUGCAGAUAUCUCACCAGGCCCUCCCCUCCGCUUCUGUGAUUCAACCGCCCAGGUGCGGUUCUGCUUCUUCAGCUUCUCCACCACAUCUGCGGUCCCCUUCACGUUGGUCCAAACCGCAUCUGCAGCUCCUCUAGCCGCUUCUGCGGUUCCGCACCUGCGGCCCAAUUCUCGCAGGUGCGCUUAUGACAGCAACCAACAACUUUAGCCUUCCAAAAAUUCCAUUUUCGAUCUGUUAACCACCCGGAAUCCACCCGAGGCCUCCGGGACCCCAACCAGUCCCAAAAUACAUUAUGGACUUGCUCGAGGUCUCAAAUCAUAUCAAACAACGCUAAAAUCACGAAUCGACCUCCAAUCCAAGCUUUAUGAACUUUAGAAUUUCAAACUUCUACUUUCGAUGUUUAAACCUAUCUAUUCACGUCCGAUUGACCCCAAAUUUUGCACACAAGCCAUAUUUGACGUUACGGACCUGCUCCAACUUCCGGAAUUAGAUUCUGAUCCCAAUAUCAAAAAGUCCACUUCCGGUCAAACUUUCUCAAAAACCUUCAAUUUUCUAUCUUUAGCCAAAUGGCUCCAAAAUGACCUACGGACCUCCGAAUUCACUUCCGAUCGCGCUCCCAAUUCCAGAAUCAUCAUACGGAGCUACUCCAAGACUCAGAAUCCCAAACGGACGUCGAUAAUACUAAAAUGCACUUCAAGCCAAAGUUAUGAAAUUUCUUCCAAAAUGCUAACUUCCACAAUAGGUGCCAAAAUGCUCCCAGGUCAUCCAAAACUCGAUCCGGGCAUACUUCCAAGUCCGAAAUUAUCAUACGAACCUGCUGGAACCUUCAGAUCCCGAUUCCGAGGUUGUUUACUCUGAAAUCCAAUCUUAGUUAAUUCUUCCAACUUAAAGCUUCCGAAAUGAGAAUUCUCUUUCCAAAUCAACUCUGAACUUCCCAAAAUUCAAUUCUGACCACACGUACAAGUCAUAAUACCUGAAAUAAAGUUGCUCAUGGCCUCAGACUGCUGAACGACAUGCUAGAGAUCAAAACGACCGAUCGGGUCGUUACACAUUCGACCCUCAAGUUUUUUGAAUUGCAAGCUGGACCUUAGGCUCUUACGCACCAGUUCGGUGAAACCUCCAAUUUUAGCACUAGCGACAAUGGCUCUUAUGCAUUUGGUUGGUGCAACCUUCAAUUUUAGUGCUGGCAACAGUGGCUCUUACGCUUUUGCUCUUAGGCAUAUUUAGUUAACUAUUAUGGGUUCAGUCUCCGAAUCGGGUUUCAACUCGAGCUCAUUCGACCCUCAAGUUUUUAAACUUCAAAAUGGACCUUAGGCUCUUACGUGUUGGGUCAGUACAACUUUUAUGUGGGCUGGUAAUAGUGGCUCUUAUGCCUUGGGUCGAUGAGACCUCUUAUGUGGGCUGGCGACAGUUGCUCUUACUCCUUGGGUCGAUGCGACCUUUUAUGUGGGCUAGACAAUGGCUCUUACGCCUUGGGUCGAUGCGACCUUUUAUGUAGGCUUUCUUUUUCCCUCGUUAAGGAUUAGUUUGCCUGACUCUUCAACGGUUUAAUAAAAAAACCUCGAUUGUGAGUCAUUAUAUGGCAAUGAUCGAGCACCUUGGGAGGUUUGGCUCGGAGGCUGAGUAUUUUGAAACCCGUGUUUAGGAGCUGGCAUAGUCGAAGCUCUUUUGCCUAUGUCGAGGGUAGCCUAUUUAACGAGUUCUUUUCGAAGUAUAUUCGAUGUAAUUGAAGGCAUGUGAUUUUAUAGCGACGGUCGGGCGUCCUCGAGUCGCGUUAGUUUGGCUGGUACAGCCUUAUGACCGUAGUCAUUUGUGUUUGGCAGAGCCUUUAAGUCCAGAAUGAAGUAGUUUCGGCGUAUAUAUUGAGGGUAUGCCUUUUUAGGGGUCUUACAAGUUCGAUAUAUAGCCUUAGCUUUGAGAUCGGGUUUAUGCCGUUAGUAAGGUCUUACAAGUUUUACAUGCCUUUGAGGUCUUACAGUUUUGGAUACUUCGUACAAGUAUGGUUCAUGCCUUGCUUGAGGUCUUAUAGAUAUUAUUGUUGCCUUAUACAGGUCUUACGAGACCGAGGCUAUCCGCAUGUGGUCUUAUGGCCUCGGGCUUUGAUAAGUUGAUGGAGAAGUCUAUUGACGACAGUACCCGAGUCAUCGGGGAUUUCUUGGCUCAAGAGCCAUUACUUAUAAACUUGGUAUUGCCUCAUCAAGGGCUUAAGAUUUCGGAGUUUCCAACCCGAAGGUCACGUGGCCUUGAGUUUUCGAUGCCAGUCCCCGCGUGUUCAGGACGUUUUUGGCUCUGGAGUUCUUUUGUGAUCUCGUUGUUGCCUCAUUGCGGGUUCACGAGUUUGAAGCUCUAACCUGGGGAUCGUACUGUUCCGAGUUGUUGAUGCCAGUCCCCGAGUAUUCGGGAUGUUUUUUGGCUCUAGGACCAUUUUUUGCAAAAAUGUCGAGCUUCCUUGAAACGUAAAAUGCUUUUAGGAAGUAUUCUUUGAUUACUUGGUACAAGUAUACUUGCCUUUGUUGUUAGGGUCUCGGUUGUAUUAUGCGAACACGGUUCGUUUGACUGUUUGGCCCGCUACAUUAUUUUCCUAUCAAGAUCCCACUUAGCGUUUCUAGGCUUCUCCGAGUAGGUGACCUUCCGAGGGGAUGCCCCUCAGUGUUUGAGGUUGAUUGCAAAAGAAGCCUUGAAUACUUGUUGAGUCUUCCUUAGGUAGCAUAUGGAUGUUGCCUUGUUAAAAACCUUGUAGGUAAAACCGUUCUUGGGAUAAAAACUCGGUCGAAGGAAAAGAGUGCAACGCAUGCUUUUUGAAACCUAAGGCCUUUGAGUUAGAAAGUGCUUUGGCCAUUUCAAUCGGAUACCUACGUUCAAGUUAGUGUAGAAUUUAAUUGAAAAAAAAGAGGCUGUCAUACCUUAGUGUAGGAUGUGCCGGUGGUGUUUUGAUCCCUGAUAUGUUUCAAUCGCUUGUGAUGAAGACACGGUACGAUCCUCUGCUUUGUUCAUUCGAGUACAGCCAAGAGUGUAGCUUGUUAUCGCUAUUUUGUUGUUUGCUUAUCCUUCGGCUCCUUUGAAGGUGGAGGUACCGGUGUCGGGGCCACAUCGUGGACCGUGAACAUUUCUCUCGCCACAUGUUGUUCCCCGUUGAUGGUCUUAAUCCCAUCCUUUGUCAGGAAUUUCAUCAUUUGAUGGAGGGUGUAUGGUACUGCUCUCAUGAAGUGUAUCCAUGGCACUCCAAGCAAGGCGUUGUACCUCAUGUCUCCCUCGAUGACAUGGAAUUUGGCAUUUUGGGUUGUGCCAGCCACAUUAACUAGGAGGGUGAUUUCCCCUUUCGUUGUUUUCUCAAGCAGUCCAAGCUGCUCUACCACCCUCGACCUGAUAAUGUUAGCCGAGCUACCUGGAUCCACAAUUACACGUUUAAUUUGAAAUGUAUUUACAAGAAAAGAGAUUACUAGUGCAUCGUUGUGAGGCUGAGACAAGGUCUCGAUGUCCUCGUCGCUGAAUAUGAGAGCAUCCUCGGGUAUGUAUCCCCGAGUUCGCUUUUCUCUUGUGAUGGAUAUUUUUGUUCUUCUCAUCAUGGGCUCCUACGGGGCAUCAAUGCCUCCCAAUAUCAUGUGGAUGACAUGUUGUGGCUCAUUCAUUUCGUACUUCUUGGCCGCCUCUCAUUUCUGGAAAUGAUUUUUGGCCCGGUCGCUAGUAAACUCUCGGAGAUGACCUUUACUGAGUAGUCUGGAUACUUCUUCUCAGUGUUGGUGGCUAUCCUCGGUCCAGUGGCCGUGCAUGUUGUGGAAUUCAGACACUAAAUUAUGAUUACUUUGCAAAGGAUCUGAUUGCACAGGCCUGGGCUACCUGGCGUCUUUGAUUUUACUGAUGGCGAACAUGAUGUCUGAUACAUCGAUAUUAAAGUUGUAUUCCGACAAGCGAGGUGCCUCCGUUGGCCCUGUAUGAUUAUUGAAUCUGGCUCUGUUGAUGAGUCCUUGAGGAUUCUGGCAUCGAUCCAUCCUUCGGUCAUUGCAGGGUAUGUUACGCCUCGGGGCAUUUCUCCUAUCGUCAGUAUAUGGCUGGUACCUUUCCUUGUUUGGCUUUGGCUCAUUUUCCAGAAAACUGCUUGGGUAUACCGAGCCCGGGGGGAUCCUAGUUGGUCGUCCUUGACCCUGAUUUUCGAUUGAUAUUGGUUGUGAAUGUCCGACCAGGUCACAAUGGGAUAUUCGAUCAAAUUCUUUUUCAGCUGCUUCGAAGCCACCGAGCUUUGUCCAUUCAGACCUUGAGUGAAGGCCUGUACUGCCCAGUCGUCGGAGACUGGUGGUAGUUCCAUUCAUUCCAUUUGAAAGCGAGAUACGAACUCUCGCAACAUCUCGUUCUCCCUCUCCUAGAUUUUGAAGACGUCUGACUUCCUAGUUGCUACUUUGAUGGCACCGGCAUGUGCCUUUAUGAAAGAAUCUGCCAGUAUGGCAAAUGAGUCUAUGGAGUUAGGAGCUAGGUUGUGAUACCACAUCAUGGACCCUUUCGAGAGUGUUUCCCCAAACCUUUUUAGCAAGACAGACUCGAUCUCGUCGUCAUUUAGGUCGUUUCCCUUCACUGCACAAGUGUAAGCAGUAACGUGCUCAUUGGGGUCUGAGGCCCAUUGUGUUUCGGAAGGUUCGGCAUACUAAACUUCUUCAGAAUGGGUUUUGGAGCUGCUUCUUCUAGGAACGACCUUUGUAUAAACUUCUUUGAAUCUACACCUUUCAGGAUCAGGGGUGCGCCCGGAAUUUGGUCGACCCAGGAGUUGUAGGUCUCGAUAUUUUUGUCGUUGGCUUCUAUCUUCUUCUCGCCCGAUUUGAUCCUCUUUGUAAGGUCCUAGAGCAUAUUUACGAUGGCGGGGUCGGUUGUCGACCCGUUGUUGCUUGAUCUCUCUGGUACCUGCUCGGCUGGGGGAACCGUCCCCGAUGCUACCGUGUUGGGAGUUUUCUGGUGACUUUGCAGCUGAGAAAUCACUAGCUGUUAUGCCUUAAACAUUUCAAAAAUAACGUGAUGGUUAACCUCCUGUUCUUCCCUAUCCGGGGUUUCCUAAGCUUCUUGUUGGUCUUCUUGGUACACGCUCUUGUAAGUGUGGGAGCUUAUAUCGACGUGUUGGGCAUCACGUGAGACCGCGUACAUGGGAAUUGGUUCUGGUGCGUUCUUAGGGUUUCGUGGUGGUACACCAACACCUGGAAUAUCCACACCAUUUUCUCCAUGGUUCUUAAGAUUGUUGUUCACCGAAUCAGGCAUUUUGGCCUGAAAUCAAAGAUCUUGGGCAAGAAAAAGUGUGAAAGAUAACUUAUGUUACGUAGUAAAACCAGCAAGAAAAUAAUCACUAUAAUUCUUAGCCCCAUGGUGGGCGCCAAACUAUUUACCGUAAAAAUGGUAACAACAAUUAAAUUUGAUUUAGUGGUUCUAAAAAUAUGUGAUAUAUUUUUAUGCUAGUUGUUAAGCAGUUGAUGCUAUGUGAAAGACUUUGAAAUGAGAUAAGAGCUUGAAAGCAAGGUGAUAACCAAACCGAAUGAUUAAUAAUCAGGGCCUCGGGCUUGCCUAUUUGAGGGUCUCGGGGUGGAGUCUGGAGCUCGGCUGGGAACUAUCAAGGGUAAUCGAUGGGUGACUAACAGUAGUAAUAAAUUAAUGACGGCUCUUUAUGAACAAUAAUAAGCAAUAAAUGAUGAACAAUAAAUAGAACACAAUAAGUAUAAGCAAUAAAUGAAGCAAUGAGAUCAAGAGAAUAUGUUAGAGAGCAGAGAGAAUGUUCUUGUGUGUUUUAUAUUGAGCAGCGGAUGUUUACAAAAUGCCAAGGAUCCCCUUUAUAUAUGAGGGGGGAAUCCAACAUAGUACAAAAAAGCAUUAAUUACAAAGAUAGGGAGAUGGUACAACUAGUUAAUGCCUUGAUUCAUUUUUGGACCAGUCCACUAGACUUUGUCAGCCAUAUUCAUGCGCCUUGGGAAUUUCUCACUUUUUCAUCAUAUCCGCCGAACUGUACUGUCUCGAGGCCGACGUUGAUAGCCCCUCAAAAGUCAAUCUCAACCAUACCUCGAGCCUCUGAAAACAUGCUUACGAGGCACCAUGAUGACGGAAAGUCGGACCUUUCGAUUUUACCAUAUACAAUUAUUUAUUUUAUUUCAGAGUCACCACUUGGGAUAAUUUUAUGGUAUCCCAAGUCACCGGUUUAUUUUAAAUCCCAAAUCGAGAAAAUUGACUCUAUUUUUGGUCCUCGAACACAGAAGACCAGGUAAGAAAUUUUGUUAACCUGGGAGAAGGUGUGAGGCACUCCCGAGUUCCGUGGUUUUAGCACGGUCGCUCAACUAUUAAUAUUUGGCCUAAUUAUUUGAUUUAUUACAUGUUUUAAACCUAUUGUUCAUUUUUAACUUUAUAACCGCUUUUAUUUAUUUAUGGAAUUAUUUCUGGAACAAGUGACAAUGUCGUACACUUGUCGUUUUGGUACACAUUGCAAACCGUGUCAUAUGAAAUGCACCCGCAAUUUAUGACAUGUUUAUUUUAUUAUUAUUAUUAUUCAAAGUUGUGGUCGGGUCACAUGAAAUGCACACCCCAAUUGGGGAUUAUGUAUCGUAACUAUGCCACGGGAGUCGUACCCAUAGCCACGAUGAUUUAUUAAUCACGCCUAAAGCAAGCUAUGAUGUUCAUGAUUUUUCUAAAACUAAUUUUGAGAUUAUUGCUUAUCGGCUCCUUUAUCCAAAAUUAUUCAUUUAUCCCAAGUAAUUAUCUGAACAACCAAACAGUCGAGAAUAGAUAAGUUUUCACCGUAAACCUUAUGGCCCAUAUAUUUCUUAUACACGUACAGAAUCCCCAACCCAAUUAACAUAACCAAUUCAACCAAGCCAAUCUUUCUAUUAGUCCAUUAAACCCUCUCACUACUCUAAUAUUUUAGCUAAUAAUAAAAAAACGAAUGAUCAAAUGCAUUUAUCAUAUUAUGGACUAAUUUCUCACAGAGAACCACGAAAACACAAAAGAUAAAUAAGUAAACAAUUUAAGAUACCCAUUUUAACAUGCUAGUUCAGAGAUAAACAGUGAUAGACAUAGACCAAAAAUUUAGCAUAAGAUUUAAGAGCAACAUUAUAUCCUUACGCAUAAAACAAAAAGAAAAUAUAGGAACCAGAGAAGGAAGGACCUUUUUAUUAGACUGAAUUUAAACUUUGUUUGUUGGACAAAUUGAAACUUAAAGAGCGACCGGGCCACGAACAAGCACCUCGAUCGGAGCUCGACUGACAAAAAAUAGAUCUCAUCUCAAAUGGACCUCUCAAACUCGGAUUUUGGCUGGUUUAAAUGGUGAAGGAGACAAGCUGAUUUUGGCUGAAUUCUGAAGGGCCUUUGAGAUUUUAGCCACUGCUUUUGUUAAGGAGGUGGGGUUACGGGGUGUUGUCUUUUUAGCUGGGUUUGGAGCUUUUUUUGGGGGGGAUGGGGGUUGUUGGCUACAUGGUUCUUUAAUAGUAUGGAUAGAGCUUAUGGUUCAAUGGUUAUGGAGCAGAUCUCUUUUCUCUUCUGUUUUCACGUCCUUUUCUCCGAUCUGCUCCUCUUGUUUUCUUUGCUUUUAGCCCUUUUUAUCUUUUGUGUAGCUUUUUUACUUAUGUUCCUAGGGUUUUUUUUCUUCC
rnacentral:lncRNA from 1 species